rnacentral:rRNA from 1 species
ACUCCUACGGGAGGCAGCAGUGGGGAAUAUUGCACAAUGGGGAAACCCUGAUGCAGCCAUGCCGCGUGUGUGAAGAAGGCCUUCGGUUGUAAGCACUUUCAGUAGGGAGGAAGGUAGUGUAGUUAAUACCUGCAUUAUUUGACGUUACCUACAGAAGAAGCACCGGCUAACUCCGUGCCAGCAGCCGCGGUAAUACGGAGGGGUGCGAGCGUUAAUCGGAAUUACUGGGCGUAAAGCGCAUGCAGGCGGCCUGUUAAGUCAGAUGUGAAAGCCCGGGGGCUUAACCUCGGAAUUGCAUUUGAAACUGGCAGGCUAGAGUCUUGUAGAGGGGGUAGAAUUUCAGGUGUAGCGGUGAAAUGCGUAGAGAUCUGAAGGAAUACCAGUGGCGAAGGCGGCCCCCUGGACAAAGACUGACGCUCAGAUGCGAAAGCUGGGGAGCAAACAGGAUUAGAUACCCUGGUAGCACAGAG